UUUAUGUGAAAUUAUUUUAUUAUAGUAAGUUGGUGACAUUAAAAUAUCUUUGAUAAUCACCAAUUUUUUGAGUAUUUGUAUGAGUACGUAUCAAGUCUAAGGUGGUACAAUCGUACUCUUUAAUGGUUGAUGUAUAGGAGCUGGGCUAAACGAUUCCUUCAGAGAGCGAAGGUAUAUACAAAUUAGUAACCGAUCUAACUCACUGUGAAAACAGUGUAGAUGAGACGGAAACUAAUUUGUUGGUUGUUUGU
rnacentral:lncRNA from 1 species